rnacentral:tRNA from 1 species
AAAGGUUUAGUUAAUUUAAAUAACAUUAAUUUGUCAAGUUAAAAUAAACCCCAUAAGUUAACCUUUA